ensembl:snRNA U1 U1 spliceosomal RNA
AUACUUACCUGGCAAGACACCAUGAUCACGAAGUUGGUUUUCCCAGGGUGAGCCUCAUUAAUUGCACUUUGGAUGUACUGACCCCAGCGAUUUCCCCAAAUGUGGGAAACUGGGCUACAUAGUUUGUGGUGGUGGUGGGGCAUUCAUACUUUCCCCUU